rnacentral:rRNA from 1 species
GACAGAGGAUGCAAGCGUUAUCCGGAAUGAUUGGGCGUAAAGCGUCUGUAGGUGGCUUUUCAAGUCCGCCGUCAAAUCCCAGGGCUCAACCCUGGACAGGCGGUGGAAACUACCAGCUGGAGUACGGUAGGGGCAGAGGGCUCGUAGAGCCGGUGGAGCGGUGAAAUGCGCAGAUAUCAGGAGGAACACCGGUGGCGAAGGCGGAUCUCUGGGCCGUAACUGACGCUGAGGAGCGAAAGCAUGGGGAGCGAACAGG